rnacentral:tRNA from 1 species
GGAUGUGGCUCAGUGGCAGAGAACUUGCCUAGCAUGCACAAGGUCCUGGGUUCCAUCCUCAGCACCA